rnacentral:rRNA from 1 species
UUAAAUUGAAGAGUUUGAUCAUGGCUCAGAUUGAACGCUGGCGGCAGGCCUAACACAUGCAAGUCGAACGGUAACAGGAAGCAGCUUGCUGCUUCGCUGACGAGUGGCGGACGGGUGAGUAAUGUCUGGGAAACUGCCUGAUGGAGGGGGAUAACUACUGGAAACGGUGGCUAAUACCGCAUAACGUCGCAAGACCAAAGAGGGGGACCUUCGGGCCUCUUGCCAUCAGAUGUGCCCAGAUGGGAUUAGCUAGUUGGUGAGGUAACGGCUCACCAAGGCGACGAUCCCUAGCUGGUCUGAGAGGAUGACCAGCCACACUGGAACUGAGACACGGUCCAGACUCCUACGGGAGGCAGCAGUGGGGAAUAUUGCACAAUGGGCGCAAGCCUGAUGCAGCCAUGCCGCGUGUAUGAAGAAGGCCUUCGGGUUGUAAAGUACUUUCAGCGGGGAGGAAGGUGUUGUGGUUAAUAACCGCAGCAAUUGACGUUACCCGCAGAAGAAGCACCGGCUAACUCCGUGCCAGCAGCCGCGGUAAUACGGAGGGUGCAAGCGUUAAUCGGAAUUACUGGGCGUAAAGCGCACGCAGGCGGUCUGUCAAGUCGGAUGUGAAAUCCCCGGGCUCAACCUGGGAACUGCAUUCGAAACUGGCAGGCUUGAGUCUUGUAGAGGGGGGUAGAAUUCCAGGUGUAGCGGUGAAAUGCGUAGAGAUCUGGAGGAAUACCGGUGGCGAAGGCGGCCCCCUGGACAAAGACUGACGCUCAGGUGCGAAAGCGUGGGGAGCAAACAGGAUUAGAUACCCUGGUAGUCCACGCCGUAAACGAUGUCUACUUGGAGGUUGUGCCCUUGAGGCGUGGCUUCCGGAGCUAACGCGUUAAGUAGACCGCCUGGGGAGUACGGCCGCAAGGUUAAAACUCAAAUGAAUUGACGGGGGCCCGCACAAGCGGUGGAGCAUGUGGUUUAAUUCGAUGCAACGCGAAGAACCUUACCUGGUCUUGACAUCCACAGAAGAAUCCAGAGAUGGAUUGGUGCCUUCGGGAACUGUGAGACAGGUGCUGCAUGGCUGUCGUCAGCUCGUGUUGUGAAAUGUUGGGUUAAGUCCCGCAACGAGCGCAACCCUUAUCCUUUGUUGCCAGCGGUUAGGCCGGGAACUCAAAGGAGACUGCCAGUGAUAAACUGGAGGAAGGUGGGGAUGACGUCAAGUCAUCAUGGCCCUUACGACCAGGGCUACACACGUGCUACAAUGGCGCAUACAAAGAGAAGCGACCUCGCGAGAGCAAGCGGACCUCAUAAAGUGCGUCGUAGUCCGGAUUGGAGUCUGCAACUCGACUCCAUGAAGUCGGAAUCGCUAGUAAUCGUGGAUCAGAAUGCCACGGUGAAUACGUUCCCGGGCCUUGUACACACCGCCCGUCACACCAUGGGAGUGGGUUGCAAAAGAAGUAGGUAGCUUAACCUUCGGGAGGGCGCUUACCACUUUGUGAUUCAUGACUGGGGUGAAGUCGUAACAAGGUAACCGUAGGGGAACCUGCGGUUGGAUCACCUCCUUACCUUAAAGAAGC